rnacentral:rRNA from 1 species
AAAAUCUCAUUAAGGGUAUAUGGUGGAUGCCUUGACUCAAGAAGACGAUGAAGGACGUAGCAGCCUGCGAUAAGCCUCGGUUAGGUGGCAAGCAACCUUUGACCCGAGGAUGUCCGAAUGGGGAAACCUGUUCCGAUUAAUAUCGGAACGUCCGCCAGCUGAAUACAUAGGCUGGUGAGACGACUACCCGGUGAAUUGAAACAUCUUAGUAGCCGGAGGAAAAGAAAAAAAUAAAGCACUCUUUAUAGAAGCACGGAUUUUCGAAUCUGUGGAUUCUAUAAAGCGUGUUAAUUCCCUAAGUAGUGGCGAGCGAAAGGGGAACAGUCUAAACCUUUUAAACUGCGUUUUUCGCCAAUUUAUUGGCGGGGAGCUGAAGGAUCUGGGUCCAUAUGUUUAUUAGGGGUUGCAAGAUAGUUGUUAUUGCUUCCAGAAGAGCAAGGCAGAGGUAAGCAUAAAAUAAUUCACUAGUUGAAGCGAGCUGGAAAGCUCUGCCAGAGCGGGUGAUAGCCCCGUAAGCGAAAGGAAUUAUUACUUUGCGAUAACUAUCUUAAGUACUGCGGGACUCGUGAAAUCCCGUACGAAGCCGGGUCGACUAUGACCCAAGACUAAAUACUUCUUGAGAUCGAUAGUGAACAAGUACCGUGAGGGAAAGGUGAAAAGCAUCCCGUUAAGGGAGAUGAAAUAGUAUCUGAAACCAUAUACUUACAAGGAAUCGGAGCCCCGUAGCAAUAUGGGGUGACGGUGUGCCUAUUGAGGAAUGAGCCAACGAGUUUGCUGUAUGUGGCUUACAUAAUCCCGCAAAGCGGGAGCAUGUGUAGUGAAAGCGAGGGUUAAUAGCCCGCCUCUUACUUAUUGGAAAGAAGAUCCUUCCUGCCUACCGGCAGGCAGGUAAAUCUUUUUUCUAAUAUAUAAGAAAGUCGCAUAUACAAGACCCGAAGCCGUGUGAUCUAGCCAUGAUCAGGUUGAACCCUCGAGAAAUCAAGGGGGAGGACCGAACCCACUAGCCGUGCAAAACUAGGGGAAGAAUCGUGGCUAGAGGUGAAAUUCCAAUCGAACUCGGCAAUAGCUGGUUCUCCUCGAAAUAGCUUUUGGGCUAGCCUCGAGUGUUUCUUUCUGGGGGUAGAGCACUGAAUCAGGAUAGGUCGCAAGAUACUGUCCUUAACCAAACUCCGAAUACCAGAAAAUUAAGCUCUGGAGUCAGACUAUGGGCGCUAAGGUUCAUUAGUCAAAAGGGAAACAGCCCUAAUCACAAUCUAAGGUCCCAAAAUAUAUGCUAAGUGUGAAAGGUGGUGUCGCGACUGCGACAACUAGGAGGUUGGCUUAGAAGCAGCCAUCCUUUAAAGAUAGCGUAAUAGCUCACUAGUCAAGUUGCCGCGCGCCGAAAAUAUAUCGGGGCUAAGCAUAUUACCGAAGAUGUGGGUUUUCUGCCUUCGGGCAGAGAGCGGUAGAGGAGCAUUCUAAAUUCGCUGAAGCUUAAAUGUGAAUUUGAGUGGAGGAUUUAGAAGAGAGAAUGUUGGCAUGAGUAGCAAAAAGGCAGGUUAAAACCCUGCCCACCGAAAACUUAAGGUUUCCUGGGCAACGCAAAUCGACCCAGGGUUAGUCGGUCCUAAGACGAGGCCCGUGUAGUGCGGGCGUAGCCGAUGGAUGAGCUGGUUAAUAUUCCAGCACUGCCGUAAUCUUCCGAUGGGGGGACGCGGUUUAAAAGUUUGAGCGUUUUUAAUGGUAUGAACGUUAACGUCAUUGGCAUGUGGCCUAGGCAAAUCCGGGCCAAUAAUUGCCAAUACGGUUAAAAGACGAAGCCUCUGGCGGAGUCAAUUCAAGCGGAUAAAUCGCCCAGAAAAACCUCUAGGGUCGCCGCAAGGCGAAAGGAUUAUGGCAACCGUACCGCAAACCGACGCAGGUAAGUGAGGCGAGAAGCCUAAGGUGUACGAGAGAACCUUCGUUAAGGAACUCGGCAAAAUAGCGGUCGUAAGUUCGCAAUAAGACCUGCCCAGCGCAAGUUGGGCCGCAGCUAAAGAAUUCAAGUGACUGUUUAACAAAAACACAGCUCCCUGCUAACUCGAAAGAGGAUGUAUAGGGGGUGAUGCCUGGCCAGUGUCCGAACGUUAAGGGGAGAGGUCAUCGCGCUUCGCUGUCGCGAAGCACUAAAUUAAAAAUUGAAAAUGCAAAAUGAAAAGUUAUUGUCGCGUUAGCGGCACCUAAAUUUUACAUUUUGAGAUUUGCAUUUUACAUUUAGCGCAGCGACAGCGGAGCGCGGGCAGCUUUAAACCUAAGCGCGGAUGAACGCCGGCCGUAACUAUAACGGUCCUAAGGUAGCGAAAUUCCUUGUCGGGUGAAAUUUUGGUCGGACUCCGGCUUGCCGGAGAACUAAACUUGCCCGAAUAUCGCAGCAAUGUGAUAUAAGUAAACUGACUCAUAGCGGUGGAACUCCUGCUAGCGCAGGACAAUACCGCGGGAACCCGGUAAAUACCGGGACCUGUAACGACUGAGCCGAAAGGCGAGAUCCCAAAUUAAUGGGAUAAAACGUCAGCUCUUGCUAGCAAGAAUCCAUUUAAGGAGAUUGCGUCAAUAAAUUUAUGGAUAUAAAUUCAUACAUAACUGGUUUUACCGACGGAGAAGGAUGUUUUCUUAUUUCAUUUUCUUUAAGACAAAAAAUGAAUUUAGGGAUUGAAGUCAGACCGAGUUUUUCUAUAAGCCAGCAUAAGCGCAAUAAAGAUAUAAUUUUAUUUCUCCAAAAGUAUUUUAAAUGCGGAGGAGUAAGAUUUUCCAAGAGAGAUCAAAAUUAUAAGUAUGAAGUUAGGAGUAUUGAUGACUUAAUGAAUAUAGUUAUUCCUCACUUUAUAAAAUUUCCUCUGUUGACUUCUAAGAAGGAUGAAUUUAAAAGGUUUGAAGAAAUUUGUAAUUUAAUUUAUUCAAAUCAUCAUCUUUCACAAGAAGGAAUGAAGAAAAUAAUUGAAUUAAGCCGCGAAGUGAAUGCAAGCGGUAAUAAAAAAUAUAAUCGCGACGAUCUCCUAAAAAUGGUAGCAAGAUGAAAGUAUAGUCUAAUCAUUAUGGCAACAUAAUGUUAAUUAUGAAGUUCCGACCUGCACGAAUGGCAUAACAACUUGAAUACUGUCUCAACGAAGGACUCGGUGAAAUUGCAAGACGAGUAAAGAUGCUCGUUAACCAUAGUUGGACGAAAAGACCCCGUGAAGCUUUACUAUAACUUGAUAUUGAGUUAGGGGUACGCAUGUUCAGUAUAGGUGGGAGUUCGCCGCAAGGCGGACGCCAGUGAGAUACCACCCUUGUGUGCUUUUAAUUCUAACCCAAGUCCCGUGAAUCCGGGUUGGGGACAGUAUCUGGCGGGUAGUUUGUCUGGGGCGGAUGCCUCCCAAAAAGUAACGGAGGCGUUUACAAAGGUUGGCUAUCCCGGGAUGGAAAUCCGGGAGAUAGUGUAAAGGCACAAGCCAGCUUUACUGCAAGACCAGCAAGUCGAGCAGUCGCGAAAGCGGAACUUAGUGAUCCGACCGUACGAAAUAGGACGGCGGAAGCUCAUCGGAUAAAAGCUACUCCGGGGAUAACAGGCUAGUCACGCCCAAGCGUCCACAGCGACGGCGUGGUUCGGCACCUCGAUGUCGGCUCGUCGCAUCCUGGGGGUGGAGAAGCUCCCAAGGGUUGGGCUGUUCGCCCAUUAAAGCGGCACGCGAGCUGGGUUCAGACCGUUUAGAAGCUAAAAGGUUGGCUUUUGAACCCUCUGAAUCCAGGUAAGACAUCAAAUAUACGGCGGCAUUUAGCAGUAAUGUUGAAUGUGAAGUUAACUUAUAUCGGUAAAAUCCCAACGGGACAAUACCGAGGGAAUUCUUUUUAAUUAAAGAAGCCCGUAGAGACUAAACGUUAACCUCCUUAAUAUUUUAAGGAUGAAGGUAUAGUCCAAUGCACUUAGCAAUAAGUGAAGACAUGCGUAAGACAGGUCGGUCUCCUAUCUACUAUGGUCGUGGAAACUUGAGAAGGACAUUCCUUAGUACGAGAGGACCGGGAAUGACGAAGCUCUAGUGUACCGGCUGUCCCACCAGGGGCAUCGCCGGGUAGCUAUCUUCGGUUAGGAUAAACGCUGAAAGCAUCUAAGCGUGAAGCCGUCUUCAAGAUUAGGUUUCAUAGGUUGGUCAGAGAAUAUGACCUUGAUAGGCUCUAGGUGUAAGGUCCGCAAGGAUUUGAGCCGAGGAGUACUAAUAAACCAUC